AAGUUAACAAUAUUCCCCCCGCUUUGGAACAUAGAAAUUGAAUCAUGUCUCAACCUGACAAGUUUUUAUUUGGGAAGUCGAGCUCUUGAAUUUCCAUCGUUAGAAGGCAUUAGAAUAGCUGACUGUCCAAAAAUGACUACAUUUUCAAGAGACAAGCAGGAAGGGACAACUGGCGAUGGAAAUGAAAAAAGGCUUGGUCAGGGGGACGUCUAUAUUACUGCAACCUUUUUCAGCCAUAAGCAGAUUGUCUCUCCAAAAUUGGAGAGGUUGGAUUUGUCCUCAAUUAACAUUCAAAGGAUAUGGCACGAGCAUCAACUCCCAUCCUUGUUAUAUAUUGAGAAAUUAGAAUUCUUGAGCGUGAAGAGCUGUCACAAUUUGAAAUAUCUGUUUCCAUCUUUCAUGGCAAAAGAUUUUGUGCAACUCAAAAGUCUUUAUAUUUCGGACUGUAAGAUCAUGGAAGAAGUAAUCUUCAUUGAAGGAUUGACAGAAGAAGAAAGGAUGAGCCAGAUGUUAUUCCCUAAACUAGAUUUCCUGUGGCUGAAAGACCUUCCCGAACUCACAAGAUUCUGCUUUGAACCUUACUUUAAGUUCCCAUGCUUGAGAAUUUUAAGCCUAACAAAUUGUCCUUUACUGAAAACAUUCAUCUUGAAAUCUGUAACUGGAGAUGAACCUCAAAUUCAUCAAAAUACAGAAGGAAGUAACUUGGAGGUUGAUAAUUCCGCUCUCUUCAAUGAAAAGGUGGUUUUCCCUUGUUUAGAGGGGUUGACAGUCACAGGUAUGAGGGACUGUAGAAAGAUAUGGCAGGACCAACUCAACAUGGAUUCAUUUAGCAAACUAAAGAACAUACUGGUUAAAGACUGUGAAACACUCUUAAAUAUUUUUCCCUUUAGCAUGAUGGAAAAACUUGAGGAACUAGACAUGUUGGAGAUUGUGAAUUGUAAUUCGCUAGAAGAAAUAAUUGAACCACGAGGACUCAUUGCUAAUGAAUCAAAUGCAGUAACAGCUACUGAAUCUAUUGUGGUAGAAGCAGUGACUAAAUUUGUAUUUCCCAGAGUAACAUACCUACGACUUGAUGAAUUGCCCAAAUUGAAAAGUUUCUACUCUAGGAUGCAUGCUACAGAAUGGCCAUCAUUGAAAAGAAUGAAGCUGGUUUCUUGCCACAAAGUAGAGUUAUUUGCUUCAGAAUGUCUUGGCUUUGGAGAAACUCAAGCAGAGAGCCAGCUGGGUGAAAUCUCAAAUAAACAACCCCUGUUUUGGGUCAAUGAGGACACUUUCCCUGUCCUAGAAGAAUUGACAUGGAAGCGGAAAGAUAAGAUGAAAGGGAUAUGGCAUGGACAACUCUCAUUGCAGUGUUUCAGAAAACUAAAAGUUCUUAACCUCGAAUGCUUUCCUGACACAUCAGCAACUGCUCUUCCAUAUUGGUUCCUUCGGCCAUUACCAUAUCUUGAGAAGAUUGUCAUAAAUGAAGCUUCCUUCUGUCAAAUUUUCCAGUUUGAAGGGAUCAGCGAUGAGGAAAGACAUACAUCAGCUCUCACUCAGAUAAAGGAAUUGAGGUUGUCUAAACUUCCAGAGUUGACACAUCUCUGGAAAGAAGAAUUCAAUCCUAGAGCAACUUUAUGUAAAAUAAGAAUUCUUGAAGUGCUGGAAUGUGGACAAUUAAAGACUUUAGUGCCAUCAUCGGUGUCUUUUGAAAAUUUAACAACUCUGGAAGUUUCAAGAUGUCAUGGAUUCAUCAAUUUAAUAGCGUGCUCAACAGCUAAGAGCCUGAUGCUACUAGAAAGAAUGAGCAUAACUGAUUGCAAGAUGAUAGAGGAAAUCAUAGCUUGUGAGGGUGAAGAAAUAAAAGGUGGCAUUAUGUUCACCAAACUCAAGUAUCUGCGGCUAAGUUGUCUUCCAAGUCUAGCAAGCUUUUGCUUAGGGGAUCACAUCUUUGAAUUCCCAGCCUUGAGAAGGGUGAUUUUGAGAGAGUGCCCAAAAAUGAAGAAUUUCUGUGAAGGAGUUUUAAGCACACCAAAGCUGCAACAAGUGCAACUGACAGAAGAUGAAGUUGAAGUAAGAGUGCGGUGGGAAGGCGACCUUAAAACUACUGUAAAAGAGCUGUUCAAAGAAAUGAAUGUCCAAAAUUCUGAAGUGACUGAGGUGACCCUUCAGUUGGACAAGCCAGAAUAAGGCAAAUAUGUUUUGGUGCUUGUGAGAUAUCUCAUUUUCCUUUCAAUUCAAAUCCGAUAGAAAGUAAGUACCUGUUCUACUCUCAUAAUUCUUCAUUUGUCCACUUUAUUUCCCUUCAUCAAGGUGCAAUUUCUUUAAAGAGUGACGUGGGAGAUGCCUUUUGAUCGUUGAAUGUUGAAUUGUUCUACUGAAGUUCGAGACUGCCACUUUCCUUUGAGCCCAAAAGGUUAUUCCACUUUCUACGAAUGCUCUGUUUGAACUGUUGCAUUUUAUAUUGUAACUUCAAUUCUCAGCUUGAAUUUCAGGUGCAUCAUGCAUGGCACUGCAAAUUACAACAUGUAUUCUCUUACUUGCAAAGUCAAUCAGCUUAAGACUGCCGUGUUUCAAUAUUACCAAAAUUUGUUCUUCAAGGUUGAUGGAUUUUCCAAUAUGUUAUGGAUAUCACUAAGUCUCUCAUCCUUCAUCCAUUUCAACAACAUUAUGCGACAGAAUAGUAUAUUCUUUUGCUGGUAUGAAGCAAAAAUGAGAUCAAACUUGGCUCCUUGCCUGCGAGGCGCAGUGAUAAAGAUUGUUCUCCUCUGGUUGAGAAAAUCACUAAGAAAAUCAACAAUUGGACGUCCAAGCACCUAUCUUAUGCUGGGAGGCUUUAACUUGUCCAAUCACCUCUCUUUGGUAUGCAAAACCUCUAGUGUCGUCAAUUCACUGUUCCCCAAAAAGUGAUAAAAUAAGUGACUCAAUUCUGCUUUGCUUUCUUUUGGAAGGGGAUGAAAAGUUCUACGAUUAUUAGUUGGGAUUUCAUUUGUCAAGGGGACAUGAUUUGAAAACUCUUAAGGAGUGGAAUCAAGCGUGUAUCCUGAAGAACAUCUGGAUUCUCCUUACAAAAUAUGGUUCCUUAUGGGCUGCAUGUGUUUCUACUUUGGUGCUUGGGGGUGGGAGAUUCUUUAUAAAUCUAGUCUUCCAAGAAAUAAAGAGAUAUUUUGUUAAUUCUCUUUACUUGUACUGUUUCUCUCAGUAAUGUUGUUUAGCAAAAUUUUUCAUCUGAUAGCACUGCUUCAUAUA